AUGGAAAAAAUUAAGAAAGUUAGGGAUUUCGAAUGUUACCGAUUGGAGAUGCUCCGAUGGCGUUCGACGGCGGAAGGAGAAUCUAAAAUCCCUUUCGACACGGCUGAAGGAUCCAUGUAUUUACUCUUCACUCUUACUCUUCUUCUUCAUCAAUUUUACUUGUUGUAUUUCCCUGCGUGUGUUGUUGCUAUGAAUCACGGAUUCAUGAUGUUGUUGUCGAGGUCGAGGUCGAGAUGCGGGGGUGAUGGAGAUUUGCAGAAGGUGAUGAUUGAGCGUGAGCGUUUGUUGAUUGUGAGUGAGUGA